GCCACGUGGUAAGGAACUGAUGUUUAUUGUGAACUUGUUGGCCAUUUAAGUAAUCGGCUUUUACAUGAACGCAGGCUUUAACUACAAAAAGAAUGCCACAGAUUGCACUCUGUAUUCAUUUUCAUGCAUGUCUGUCACAGUUUCUGAACCUGCGACUUUACUUUUUGUUACUUAGGUGAGAAGUACUUUUUGAAGAGAGUUCUCUACCUAGUGGUUUAACCCUUGGCUUGGUGAGGUUUCCUUUAAUCUGGGAAAAGCGGCUGGCCGGUCGGUUCGUCCUGGUCUGCAGCUUCAGGGAGAAAAGCUCACUCCUCAUCACCUUCAUCCUCAUCUUCAGGGUUUCGUUUUCCUUCAGGCUCUGGCUCAGCUGUACCUGGAGGGACACCGAGCUCGCCGAGAACAGCUGACUGAUUUCUGUCACCGCCGCUUUAACCAGCACUUCCAUUACGGACACAAGCUGGGACUCCAGGUCCAGACUCCCCGGUGCAGAGGGCAGCAGUCAGCCAGGGACCUGCCGGGGAGGUGACAGGGGACAUGAAAAAGAGACACAACUGAGGAGGAGGAGGGACAAAGAGACCAAGAGGAGCUCCUCAUCACCCCAUCAUUCAUGAUUGAGUCACUUGCAAAUUAAAGAGAAGCACAGCUUUAACUCAAAACAAUGUAACAAACUGUUUGCUCACACCA